rnacentral:rRNA from 1 species
GCGUUGUUCGGAUUCACUGGGCGUAAAGGGUGCGUAGGCGGUCGGGUAAGUCUGACGUGAAAUCUUCGAGCUUAACUCGGAAACUGCGUCGGAUACUAUUCGGCUGGAGGAAUGGAGGGGAGACUGGAAUACUUGGUGUAGCAGUGAAAUGCGUAGAUAUCAAGUGGAACACCAGUGGCGAAGGCGAGUCUCUGGACAUUUCCUGACGCUGAGGCACGAAAGCCUGGGGAGCAAACGGG